CCACAACCCGAGCCGCCGACCUCAUUGCUUCCGAUGACAACCGCUUCCGCGAUGGCGACCCAUACCUGAGCGUCCUCAUGCGGCCGCAUCCUGCAGAACGCCGUCCUGAACCGUCGAGCCCUUCGUCGGGCGCGUUGGCGCUACUCAUCUCCCUCUCUCAUAUCUUCCGCGGUUCCGUCAGAUGGGAUGGGGACGACAGAGUGGAGGGCCUCCUACUCCAAGAGACCAGCGUACUAGGAGCCCACAGACUAUGUGCCCAAUUUGAAGGUAAAUACUCUCAUUGAAGUGCUCUGGUUCUAAUCAAAAUUUGAUGCAGGUUGAGGAGCGGGGAAGCACAGCUGCUUGAGGAUGAGCAAGGGCGACCAUACAUCCAGCUGCCAGCUCUCGCUAUCGAUAUGUUACUGGUCUCUGUAGUAUCUCAAUAGCAGCGAUUCUGUUUGUCGCACCAAUUGCUUAUAUUUGAACGAAAAUUGUCGCACCACUUAUACCACUUGGAAACGUGUAGUCACUUUGGUUAGAAAGAGAUUGUAGCUGUCAAGGACAAUUUCAUUCAGUUUGGUUGUAGUGUAGGCUUGGCACCACAUAUACUUUCCAUAGAAGCAGAAAGUGGCGUAAAAUCAUGAAGCAGUAAAGAUAACUUUUUAUACAUCUAUUUAUCCUAGAUACGUAGCAUAAUACACAACACAGAGUAAGCAUUGGGAAAAGAUAGUAUUAGAUGAUUGCUUCAAAAAUACACUAAAAACUGGAGCUGAAUGCAUUUUAGGUAGUAAAACACAUCCCAGAGACGAUAUGGGUUGAUGCAAGUCUUGGACCCUGGUGUUUGCGAUUCAUUUUAGUGUACUGAAUUUGGUAAGUGGUAUGGAUCGUGUAUUUUGAUGCAGGUUGAUGGGUGUAUUUUCUUGCGGUGAAGCAGGCCUGUAAAUUUGCGAGAUAACAUAUUCUUCAAAAUGGACUGGUAGUGCGUAUUCAGAAAACUUGGACAACUUCUAUCAUGUAGAUUGCAUGCAUGUAUGUAGUUUCUGAUUCCUCUAUCGGAUGAAUUCAGCUUAAGACUGAUUGCUACUCUGCUUGAACAAUGAUAUCUUACUAGAUUAGCUGGUAAAUCCAAUGUUGAAGGUUUGCUUACACACUAAAGGCAGCUGGCCAUUUUCAUUAAAAAUUUGCUUGCGUUGUAUUGUUGAUCAAUUAAUUUCAGGGAGGCGUACCCAUGUUGUCCUUGUUUUAACAGCUAUUGCUAACAUUUUUCCGCUGGUUUUAACAAUGAAUCACUUCUCUUCUUUUUGGAAGUGCUAAUUUUGAAGCCGUGAUCUUGUGUACUAAAAGAGUACUCAGUACCUGCGUACUUGGUUUACUUUAUGUCUCAGGUUUCUCGGUUAGCAUUGCACAAAGCAUACAAUAGAUCUAUAUGGACAAAUGUUCAUUAUGGUUACAUAUCUGAUGUCAUGGGCUAUACUAACUUCUUCCCAAUAGAUUAUAUUUUUGAUAUAGUUGCUGGUCAAUAUGCUCUUGUGUUUUAUAUUCUCGAGAUGGAAACAUACAUAUACAAUAGCCAUUCUAUGUGGGAUCCAGGUAGGAUUGCACCUUCAACCUAUGUUCUAAAGUUAUUUUAUAGCCUGACAUUUUUUCUAAUACAUCAAAAUAUAAGACAGGGAGCUUUGUAUACUCUUCGUUGCUGGUACUCUGUAGGUAUCAUCGGACUGCAACACUAUGAGCAAUCUGAUGUAGGGCGCGACCACAGGUACAAAAAUGAUGGCUGUGUUGGCAUCUGCUGAUCCUAGAGAGGACAAGACGCCGGGAACCGCUGGUGUCGAGUGACAUCCAUGUCCUCUAUGCCAUGGUAGCCGAUCCCGCGACCCCAACGGUCCACCCUUCUCCAUUCCAUAAGCCCUCCUUCUCUAUCUUCUAUAGAUGGGUGUUCUUUCACAAAGGAGGUUAAUUCUGAAUAGAAGUCAGAUCCAAAUCACAAAGAAUGCUACAACAAAGGCUGCUACAGUCCCAGUGCGUCGCAUGGCUAAAAGAAACAAGCCAAGAUUACUGGAACGGUUUUAUAGUUUCACGACAGAGACAUGAUGGAGAUAUUCAAUGUAUUUUGUAUACCAUGCUAGAUGGUUGACUUAAAUCAUCCCAUGGCCUGAUAGAUGCCUAAGGUUUUAAUGGUCGGACAUUCCUAUGUGCGGAAUCUGUGAUGGGGAGGAGUCUGAACAUGAUAAAUGGCCUUGAGCUUGGCGGGUGUCGCGGUCUGACCAGGCAAGCGUUCUAGCAUCCAGCUUCGAUGACCUUCAACACUUCAAUGUUUGUAUGACACAAACACUGUUUUUUUAUAGUGCAAGAAAGUAAUUGUUUGAUCGAAGCUAUCUUAUGAAGACUACCCUACAAAAUGGGUAGUUGACAUACAAAUGCCACUUGUGGGAGGAAAGAUACGAGGAAUAAUGUUAGGUUUUACAGCAAACGGUUGUAUGCAUUGCAAGAAAUUGUUAUAAUGUAGUUUUGUAUAUCUAUGCUACUCAUAUAAUAUUUUCUUAUUAAAAAUA